rnacentral:rRNA from 1 species
GGGCUUGACAUCCCACGAACCUGCCUGAAAGGGCGGGGUGCCCGCAAGGGAGCGCGGAGACAGGUGGUGCAUGGCUGUCGUCAGCUCGUGUCGUGAGAUGUUGGGUUAAGUCCCGCAACGAGCGCAACCCUCACCCCUAGUUGCCACCGGGUCAUGCCGAGCACUCGAGGGGAACUGCCAGCGUCAAGCUGGAGGAAGGCGGGGAUGACGUCAAGUCAUCAUGCCCCUUACGCCCUGGGCUACACACGUGCUACAAUGGCCAGUACAAAGGGAUGCGAGACCGCGAGGUGGAGCUAAUCCCAAAAAGCUGGUCUAAGUUCAGGUUGCAGUCUGCAACUCGACUGCAUGAAGGAGGAAUCGCUAGUAAUCGCGCAUCAGCCCGGCGCGGUGAAUACGUUCCCGGGCCUUGUACACACCGCCCGUCACACCACGAAAGCUGUCUGUACUCGAAGUCGCUGAG